GAUUAACGCUGGCGGCGUGCCUAACACAUGCAAGUCGAACGAGAACCCUUGGAUUCGUCUGAGGGGGAGAGUGGCGAACGGGUGAGUAACACGUAGGUGACCUGCCCCGAAGAGGGGAAUAACCACUGGAAACGGUGGCUAAUACCCCAUGUGAUCUAUCGUUCAGUCGGUAGAUUAAAGUUCCGGCGCUUCGGGAGGGGCCUGCGGCCCAUCAGGUAGUUGGUAGGGUAAUGGCCUACCAAGCCAAUGACGGGUAGGGGGCGUGAGAGCGUGAUCCCCCACACUGGCACUGAGAUACGGGCCAGACUCCUACGGGAGGCAGCAGUGAGGAAUAUUGCCCAAUGGACGAAAGUCUGAGGCAGCAACGCCGCGUGGGCGACGAAGGCCUUCGGGUUGUAAAGCCCUUUUCUGGGGGACGAGAGAGGACG
rnacentral:rRNA from 1 species